GAAGAAGGUGGUACUGUUUGUUGGCGUCUACGAUUCGGAUUCGAUCUUCCCUCUGUAAAUCUGGAAGUCUCUAUCUACACGGAGAGAGGCGUCUGUCUACGGUAAUAUUUGCUGAGCCAGAUUAUCGGGUUAACUGAUCGAUCAAAGCUGGAUAGAGUUUGGGUUUUUCUUGAUAACGUUCAGUCUUUCAGAUUAUCAGAAAAAGAGAGGGAGAAGAGGACGGGGGAAGAAGGAAAAGAAGCAGAAGAGAGAGACUAGAAACUUUUGCUCUUGCUUCAGAGGAAACAAGUGGAAAGUCGAUAUCAACUAUUGAAGCUUCAACGUGCUAGAAGGAAGGAGGAUGACCCGUAUGAGAAUAUGGAUGCCAAAAUCAACUGGGCUUUAGAGCAGGCCUUCAAUUUGAAGCUUGAUUUCAGUGAGGCUGGGGAUGAUUUUGUUGUUUUUCGAAGACUGAUGCUGGAAUGAUGCUCAGGAAGAGUUUGAGGAUCUCAGAACCAAGGGCUGCCAACUUCUAGGAAUUCUGUUUCUGCUGCAGUUUUGGAUGUCGGUAAUUGACUACAACAGUUUCAAGCUUUUUGAACCCAAGAAGUCACCUGAAGCAGGCAAGAUUUAGGGAAAGCUAUCAACAGCUUCCAAUUGGUGAUAGCCACAAUCUCAAUCGUCUGAUUACAAGAUAUCCAGCCUUUACAGACUGACCAUAGAUGCUGGAAUUCUAGCUACGCUUCCUCAAACAGACCUCGGGGACCAAAGCCAAUGAAAAUCUUGCUGGCGCUACAUGAGCCAUGGUGGAACUCAUGUAUAAGGUCCAGAAAUCAAAAGGCUUAGCAGAGUGAGACAAUGGUUCAAGAGGGAUGUCAUGACAUUAAGAAGUUAGAUUUUGCAAAGAAGCAUAUAACAAACCACCAUUACUGCUCUUCAUAGUCAGACCAUGCUAGCCUCUGCUGUUGACAGCUUUUAAGUGAUGGCUUCCAAACGACAAUGUAAAGAGGUAGCUGCACAGGUGGAGGUAAAGUCACACGUGUUUUCCGAUUUCUCAAGGGCAUUCUGCUCUCCUUAGACAAGCAGAGUUAAAUACAUCGGUGGAUCUGCAUGUGAAUGAGGUCAUUGGAAGGCUUUUCUUGAUUUUGUUUUUCCAGGCAAUGACAGAAACGAGUUUGGAGCAGAAUCUCAGCCAAAAGAGGCUGAGGAAAGUGUGCUCCACGUUGUGACAAAGCUAAUGUCAAAAAAGGACAAGGGUCUCCUGAGGAAGAUGAAGCUAAGUCUUUAGACUCAUGGAACUGGUGGCAAUUGGAUUCAUCUGCCACAAAAAGCUGGCUUUUAGGUUCUUCAACAAGAAUCAAGUCGACCACAUUAAGGGUGAUCAGAACACGUGGUUUUCUAAUAAAGAAGCCAAGCUGCCGGAAUUGUAUUUAACAGGGUGAUCAGAACACGUGGUUUUCUAAUAAAGAAGCCAAGCUGCCGAAAUCGCAGAAAUUCACCCCUGAAUUUGGAACUUUAUUUCUUCCGUGACUUCACAUUUGAGUAAUUGACUGCAAUACUUUGAAGGUAACAAUCUGAUAUUUUCCAAUCAGUUCUCUGUUUGUCUUAUGAAUCCACCAUUUCAAUCUGAUACUUUCAAGCACAACAAACACUCAGCAACAUUUAUCAUCUUUUUCCUUUAUCAUUGUUGGUUUUGUUUUUUUUAAUUAAUUUUAAAUACAUACAAUUUGAUCUCAUUUAAUAAGUUUAAAUACAUACAAUUUGAUCUCAUUUAAUAAGCCAACUUUUAAGUUUUCAAUAGUUCCAGUAUCCAAAAUGUUUUGCUACAACUUUCAGUUUUCAACUUUCUUUCUAUUUUGUUUGUUUCCUUCUGUUUCCAGCUUCAAUUUUAGAUCUGCUGUUACUACUCCUACCAUUUUGAAUUCUUGCUCAUUUUGAACCUCUUCGAUUUUCAAUUAAUUCACUGAGGUAUCUACAGCAAGAUUGUUGUUUUGCUUAUGGAUGUUUGUUUU
rnacentral:lncRNA from 1 species